rnacentral:rRNA from 1 species
CCUACGGGGGGCAGCAGUGGGGGAUAUUGCACAAUGGGGGAAACCCUGAUGCAGCGACGCCGCGUGGGUGAAGAAGCGCCUCGGCGCGUAAAGCCCUGUCAGCAGGGAAGAAAAUGACGGUACCUGAAGAAGAAGCCCCGUCUAACUACGUGCCAGCAGCCGCGGCAAUACGUAGGGGGCAAGCGUUAUCCGGAUUUACUGGGUGUAAAGGGGGCGCAGACGGCGAUGCAAGCCAGUAGUGAAAGCCCGGGGCCCAACCCCGGGACUGCAGUUGGUACUGCGUGGCUAGAGUGCAGGAGGGGCAGGCGGAAUUCGUGGUGUAGCGGUGAAAUGCGUAGAUAUCACGAGGAACACCGGUGGCGAAGGCGGCCUGCUGGACUGCAACUGACGUUGAGGCCCGAAAGCGUGGGGAGCAAACAGGAUUAGAUACCCUUGUAGUC